AUUGAACGCUGGCGGCAGGCCUAACACAUGCAAGUCGAGCGAGCGGCGGACGGGUGAGUAAUGUCUGGGAACCUGCCUGAUGGAGGGGGAUAACUACUGGAAUCGGUAGCUAAUACCGCAUACCAUCAGAUGUGCCCAGAUGGGAUUAGCUAGUAGGUGGGGGAAUGGCUAACCUAGGCGACGAUCCCUAGCUGGUCUGAGAGGAUGACCAGCCACAAUGGAACUGGGCAACGGUCCAGACUCCUACGGGAGGCAGCAGUGGGGAAUAUUGCACAAUGGGCGAAAGCCUGAUGCAGCCAUGCCGCGUGUGGGAAGAAGGCCUUCGGGUUGUAAAGCACUUUCAGCGGGGAGGCGUUACCCGCAGAAGAAGCACCGGCUAACUCCGUGCCAGCAGCCGCGGUAAUUC
rnacentral:rRNA from 1 species